UCCGGUCAGGCCGCAUAGGAGUGGCGGUUCCCUUGUAAGGAACAGACGGUGGGUUCGACUCCCACGACCGGAU
rnacentral:tRNA from 1 species